UACGUAGGGUGCAAGCGUUGCCCGGAAUUAUUGGGCGUAAAGAGCUCGUAGGCGGUCUGUUGCGUCGGCUGUGAAAACCCGAGGCUUAACCUCGUGGCUUGCGGUGGAUACGGGCAGACUAGAGUGCGGUAGGGGAGAGUGGAAUUCCUGGUGUAGCGGUGAAAUGCGCAGAUAUCAGGAGGAACACCGGUGGCGAAGGCGGGUCUCUGGGCCGUAACUGACGCUGAGGAGCGAAAGCGUGGGGAGCGAACAGG
rnacentral:rRNA from 1 species